rnacentral:rRNA from 1 species
GACGAACGCUGGCGGCGUGCUUAACACAUGCAAGUCGAACGGAAAGGCCCUGCUUUUGUGGGGUGCUCGAGUGGCGAACGGGUGAGUAACACGUGAGUAACCUGCCCUUGACUUUGGGAUAACUUCAGGAAACUGGGGCUAAUACCGGAUAGGAGCUCCUGCUGCAUGGUGGGGGUUGGAAAGUUUCGGCGGUUGGGGAUGGACUCGCGGCUUAUCAGCUUGUUGGUGGGGUAGUGGCUUACCAAGGCUUUGACGGGUAGCCGGCCUGAGAGGGUGACCGGCAACAUUGGAACGAAGAUACGGCCCAGACUCCUACGGGAGGCAGAAGUGGGGAAUAUUGCACAAUGGGCGGAAGCCUGAUGCAGCAACGCCGCGGGCGGGAUGACGGCCUUCGGGUUGUAAACCGCUUUCGCCUGUGACGAAGCGUGAGUGACGGUAAUGGGUAAAGAAGAACCGGCUAACUACGU